rnacentral:misc_RNA from 1 species
GUCAGGCUGCCAAAUCCAUGGUCUUAGCUAGGCUACCAGUCUCUCUAACACCUUUAAUCCUCCACAUAACAUGUCUAGCAUACCAAUCAAAGAAAAUAAACUAUGCUUAUAUAUUUGCAGCAUUAUAUAAAUCUACUGAAAGAUUAUUAUAAACUAUGCUUACAUAUAUGUAUGUAUGCAACACUUAUACACCAGAAUCCGAAGUUCAACUAAAACCAACGGUCAAAUUCUAAAAACAAAUUUGAAAAACAAACCACAUAAUUCACACAUCCUCCCGGAAAGCACACCAUCCAUUAUCAUCAUCUUACCUUCUCUUGUUCUUGCUUCCCAGCAACAAAGAUAAGUAAAAUAGAAUUCUGAAUAAGAAUCCCCAUGCCACCGUCACCCACAAGCAAUUCCACUUGCUUAGAUCGGUUAUUCCUUGUUGCUGUAGUAUAUCUGACCCUGUAGUUAAGCAUGUGGAGCUGUUUAUCGUCAUUCCUAAUGUAUUGCUCAUUGUUUGGAGUAAUCUCACUUUAACUGAGGUGGGCACUGACCCAAGUGGAGUAUUGUCGAAAAUUUGAACACCUCUGACAAAACACUUGGUGGGAUCGUGAAAUUCAUUUUGCAAAACUGCUUCGUAGGGGUAUUUCACAAGGGACAUGUAAUGAAACCAAAUCCAAUAAGGUGGGAUUCGAUCACGGUUCAUGAAGAAGCCACUGAAGAGAAGGAAAUAGGCUAAGAUGGCUACAACUAUUGUGUAACCGAGCAUAACAUGAGGAACGACGCCGGAUAGAAAUGUAACAAAGGAGUUUCCAGCCCAGAAGGAGGCAAAGAUGAUCAAGAAAUAAAAGAAGAAACCAGAAAAACCUCCGUCGAGCCCCACAGCCCAAAAUGUAAUGGCCGCGAAGGAAAAUGAAAGGAAAAUCAAGGAAGGUAAAGAAACCAGCGCAUGAGAUAGAACAUAAGAGGACCUUCUAUAAGCAUUGUAAGCAGUUUCUCUCAUGAAAAUGUACCUUUCUUGAAGGAAAACUGGAAGAGCAUCUGCACAAGUGUAGAAAGUAGUGGACAUGGCAAAUGCGAAAAACCCUAAUCUUUCUUGAACCCCUUUGGGUGAAUUAUCCAGCUGCCAAAACAUGGUAGCUAAAAUGAACCCAGUAACCAAAACUGCAACCAGUCGAAUUCCAAACAAUUCAGGCAUU